rfam:Plasmodium gonderi apicoplast DNA, contig: Api.
AAUGAUAUAACUUAAUAAGGUUAAAGUAAAUAAUUGCAAAUUAUUAUAUUUCAGUUCAAUUCUGAAUAUCAUUU